rnacentral:lncRNA from 1 species
AAUGCCUCCAAAUGCUGCCUUCUCUUUGCAUAAGAUGUGUAUCUUUGGAGACCAGGAUGUGAGUCUCUAAAAGCUACCCUUCUGUGCCACUCGAGAUAUAAGCGCUAUGCAUCUUUGGAGACCAAGACUUGAGUUCUUGGAGACUUCCAUUCUAUGUCAUGCCGUAUACACAAAACACGUGGUCGUCGAUCAGAAGACCUACCAGAAUCUGGUCGAUUAGAAUCAAGCCAAUCACAGCAAGAUUGGAAGGCCGAGCUACCGCACUCUAGAUGGAGUUACUGAGUCCAGGG